AGAAGAAAGCUGAAAAAAAAAAUUACAUCCAACUCUUGUUUCAAAAGUUCUGAUGGUGAAGAAGCAAGUUCACCACUGGGUAAGUUACUCCAGUGCUAAAACCUUAUGUUUUCUCCUAUUCUGGAUUUGUCUAGCUUCAGCUUCCAGCCAUGGGAUGACGUUGUGCUGUUAUGUUCUACAUCAAAAAAGAAAAACAACAAAAAACAAUGAGAAGAAACCACAACCACUUAGAGGCUGCCCAGGGAAGUGGUGCAGUCCCUGGAGGUGUUCAAGAAAUGUGCAGAUGUGGCACUGAGGGACAUGUUUUGGUGGGCAUGGUGGUGAUGGGUUGAUGGUUGGACGAGAUUAUCUUAGAGCUUUUUUCCAACCUUAAUGAUUCUGUGAUUAAAAAUCCUCAUCCAGUCUCAGCAUGUAUAAUCCAACCACCAAGUAAUCUCUUGAAUAAACUGAAUAUAGCUAGCUUCUGUCACUUGGUGACAGGAUAACCAAAAUUACCAGCAGCAUGCUUGCCCCAGAUUUUCCAUGUUCUUUUUUCCUGCAUAGACCAGAGAUGAGCACUGUAUUGUAAAGGCUGACCUCCAAAGAGCCAGUGAGGGAGUAGCACAUCCAAUCCUUCACCAAAGAACUGUGUUUAUUCUGCUAGUAAGUGUUGCAUAAGGACGGAACAAUUUGCAUUGGUCACUCUACAGAAAAACUGUAUCGGCAAAUUAAAGUUUGCAUUUCAGUCAUAUCUCAGUCAAAUGGAGGUAAGUGACCAAAUUUUUUGCCUGAGUCAUUGUCCCUUCCACACCCUGUCAUUCACACUGGGUCUCUUUGGCUGUAGAAUCACAUGAAGAAAGCAAUAUUGGUCAAGUCUGAAUCCUAAUGCAGGACAGAGACAAGAGGAGAGAGGCAUCUAUAGUGAGCAAUCUUGGCACAAUGUAUAGUUAAUGCAAUUGAACUCACACUGUGCUCAGUUUUCACAACUGGGUUCUUACCCUGAUGAGUUAAUUCCCUUUGAUGUCUCUUAUGUUCCUCCCCUGCUUUCUCUGAGUCUAAAAUAACCUAACUGUCCAUCUUGCUUAUGGAAUUACUGAACUUUUAAGAGAAUACAAAGUGCACUCAUGUGAGGAUUUGGGAUUAAACCUCUCCUGUUUAUGUUAAACAUAACAUCUUAAUUCUUCCACUGCUGGAGGGCAAAUGAAUCUCUGCAGCCCCAAAGAAACCUGCUUUCAAGCCCUAGAGCAAAGGUCAGUGUGAUUUAUUUCUCAUUAGAGAUGUUCUUUCCGGUAAAGUUGUCUCAUGGUAUACGACAGUCCUCUUACAAAAAAACCUUCAUGCAAUUUACCUCAUUUUUACUUAAAUAUAGUCCAUUGUAAGGCAACAUGUGCUGCUUCAUAUUCACCACGUUUCUCCUUGUCAACUUCAGAAAUCAGUGGAGUAUCUGAAUUUUUUUCCAGGGAUGUGAUAAGGAACACAAGAGCCUGCUACCUACAUCUCACCAGCACCCAAUGAUCUCUGGAUUCGGGGAGUGAAUCCCAUUGAAUCUGGCAGUUCUUCUCUGCUUCUUCCAGAGGCUGGGCUCUUGCCUCCCAGCCCUGGGGAGAGUGGGGAAAAGGCAGGGGGUGAAGAGGCAGAAAAAGAUCUGGGGUGAGAGAAAAGGGUAGAGAAGGAAGUAACUCGUCAAGAAAAAUUUAAGGCAAUGUUGGAUUGAGCAGAUCUUGCUCUUUCCUGGUAUGAUAGGGCUUUCUGGAUCUUUGACACAAGACAGGUGAUGCUGGAGCUACAAAAUCCAUCAGCAACAAGAUAAGCAAAUUAUUUGCUGGAUUGUUUUUCCUGAUAGCAAAGCUGCCUGGCUCCUCCUUGGGUUAUAUUAACUAUUUGGGCUAAAACAUCAUGUUUUGCAUGUUUAUUCUGGGUAACUUGUGAGAAAAACAUUUUGAUGGUCUCUUCACCAAGGAAGGCUAAAGAGUGAUGUUUUAUUUUACCUGUGUUGAAGACCGUGCUUCUAUGAGUAGAGACAAUACCUACAUAUCUGGCUGAAAGAUUGGGAUGGAAAAGGAGAUUGACUGGAAAGAUAAGAUUUAGGAACAAAAAGUCAAGCCUGGUAGAUGACAUAGAUACUAGCUUCUUACUGCGUAAACCAAUUGUGAAGAUGCAUUUCUUAACUUAUUAAGUACUCAGAUAACAUGGAGACGAGCAUCACAAGAAAGUCCAUCAAAGUGUUAAGUUUUUGCCUCUAAAGUUCUGCCUUAAUUUAAUUAAUUAAUUAAAGUUCUGCAUUAAUUUAAUUAAUGAUUCCAGGACAGAAGGUUUCAGGACAUUUGCACACUAAGCAGUGGAGAUUAAACCAUUGCUUUCUAUUAGGGAAGAUUUAGAUUGGAUAUAAGAAAGAAUUUUUUUAUAAUAAGGGUGGUGAGGCACUGGAACAGGUUGCCCAGAGUGGUGGUGGAUGCUCCAUCCCUGGAGACAUCCAACAUCAGGCUGGAUGGGGCCCUGAGCAACUCGGUCUAGUUGUAAUGUCCCCAUUCAUUGCAGGGGAGUUAGGCCAAAUGGCCUUGAAGUGUCCCCACCAACUCAAACAAUUCUAUGAUUCUAUGAACCUAGCUGUUCUCUAGGAGAGCACAGUCCGAACAGCUACUGAGGGCUUACCACCCUGAACUAAGGCACGAUGGUUAGGAGACAUCAGAAGUUCUUUUGCUGUUGAAGAUUUACCAUUACCUACAGCUAUGAGUAGGAGCCAGUUUGGGCCCAUGUUUGCAUAGAACUUGUUGAGACACAAGAAAGUACCUUCUUUGUGGUUCCCAUUUAAAAGCAGAAGUGUAAAACAAGCCAAGAGCUCUAAAAACCCAUUUGUUCAGGAGAGUAGCCCAGUGCAAUGAUCAGAGAAGGGCUGCCUUCUGCAGGCACUACUAAAAACCCAGCUAUACUGAGACUGCAUCUGAGCACAGGCAUAGCCUGAGUGAGGUCUUGAAACAUUUAGAAGAGGCUUUUGCAAGGUGGACAGCCUGAAGAAAACAUCUCCAUUACUCAGAAGACCACCUGUUUGCAGGAGUUACUGGGAAUCUGAGUACAGAGUCACCCACGGCCCAUUUGUCCUCUCACCAUUAGUUUGGUGCUGAGGUUCAGCCCUGAGCCACAUAGGUGAUAACAUAACCAAAGGAGAAAGGAAAAACCUCUUUCUUAUAGAGAUGUAUGUUAGUUUCCAGUUCUGAUUAAAUAUAUCCCAGCUGCUAGGAACAGCUGUGAAAGAUUCUUCUCCUUUGCUUUUUUUUCAACUGUGAUGUAUUCCUCCUCUUCACCAUUGCCUGGUGAAGGGGGGGAAGAAGAGCCUCAGAUAAAAGCCUUGCUCCAGGGCAAGCAAAGAUCCCAACUGCAGUUUUGCAUAAAUCUGUCACUUGGAUUCUCUGGAGAACAACUGCAAACUUGAAAAAUAGCGUAGUGCAGCAGGCACAGGUGUGGACUCCUCUCUCUCUGUAUAUAUAUAUAUUUCAAAUAAAAGUAGCUGUGAACAACCCCCAGAACAUGACUUGCUUUCACCCAGCUUUCAGCUUUGUUAGUUCUUCUAAAACUAUCCCUGCGUUGAUAAACAUGUUAUUAGUAAACCAGAAAUGAAACGAUAAUGAGAAAAUUGUCCUGUAAAAGAAAAUUGUCCACCAUAAAAUCCACAACGACCAUCCUGCAGUGCUUCUGCUGCUUUCUACUCCCUCUAGGACAAUCUGUGAGGGAGCUUUUGCUCUCUCUUACUUUUAAAUGCAAAUACAUCCAAGAUUUGCUGGGUUUGGCUUGGGGCUGGAAGGGCGGCUUGUGAGGAAGCUCAGUAAUAUCUUUCACCCCAGGGUCAGCUUUGCAUCCCACAGUAAAUUUGGCUGCUUCACUUGAAACAAAGACACAGUGUUGUUCCAUAGACUUUUCUCCUCCAUCCAUGCACUUUCAUCCCCAAGUGCCUUGGCUCCAAGUGGCUGGAGUACAGGGGCCAGCAGAGGUGGCUGCGUGGGCUGAGCUCAUCCAAGGCUCCCGACAGGCUCCUCUGGCCCCCCAUGCCCUACCUUUGUCCCUAAAUCUUUCAUGUUCUCAUCAAGCAGGAGGGUGUUUGGUGUUUGGUUACUGUCUCCAUUGUAAGGGAGGAAAUUGCUUUUGCAACUGCGGUCCCAGAGGCUGUACUUUUCUUUUGCAAUUAAACCCUUAUCAGACCUCACGCUGCAGUGAUAACGUUGACUGAAUAGGUGUUUGCUGACAGACAUUGACCUGCAGCCUAAAUAAUGUAAGGAAAAUGCUUUUGAGUUUUUUGGCUUUUUUAAAGUCCUUGCCUAGUUCAUGGCUGAAGCCGUAUUUGCAGUAAAUAAAGUGAAAUUAUUUAGGACUGUAUUGGGUACUACUAGCAUCUGUGUCAAAGCCACUCUCUAGGCAUGAUGGGGUGACUUUGUUGUGGGAGCACGAUCUGACAGGGCUGAACACCAUUUUUUCACCCCAGCACUUAUGGUGAAGAGCCAGAGCACCCUGCUUGCUCUGGCAGCGGGAGAGCUAUAAUCCUACUCAGUCUGAGGAAAUGGUCCAUCCACCUAAAGGGCAGUUUUGCAUUUCAGUGCUGUUGUGUUGAAAGCCGAAUUAAUAACAAGGUUUGGCCAAGCUCUGCAAAAGUUGAAACCUGGCUUCUGGCUCAGUUUCUGUCUGACAAAGAGCAAGAUUUUUAUGUUCCUUUCAGCAGCGUUGCUUCGCAUUGCAGCACGCAAGCUGUGGGUGGCUUCUCUUCAGAUUGAGAAUACCGGUGGGUCUCGUGAGUCAUGGUGAGACGGUGACAUGGGGUUGGAUUUUAAAAGGUGAAGAGUCAACGUUUGUGAAGCUUCUGCAGCCUAUGCAAUUAAUUUGUAACAACAGAGCUAGCAUAAAUCCUACCACUGCUGCGCACAGCAGCACCUGGGGAUGUGGCUGUACAGCUGGGAGAAGUGCCAGAAAAAUAGAGGAAAGAAAUGUCACUCCUAUCUUCGUGAAGGGGAAGAAGGUGUACUUAGGGAACUGCAGGCCUGUCAGCCUCACUAUGAUCCCUGGGAUGGUGAUGGAAAGCCUAAUUCUGGAAAACAUUUCUAAGCACAUGAAGGAGAAGAAAACCUCCAGGAGUAGUCAGCAUGGCAAGUCGCACCUGACUGAACAGAUAAGCUUCUAUAAGGAAUUCACCAGCCUGAUGGAUGAAGGAGGAGCAGAGGACCUUGUCUUCCCAGUCUUCCUUAAGGCCUUUGACACUGAUCCCCAUAAGGUCCUAGGGCUGAGGAGUCAUGAUGGACAUCAAGAUGAACUUGAGGCAGCAAUGUGCCCUUGCUACUAAGAAGGCUCAUGGUAUUCUUGGCUGAAUUAAGGCAGUUGGCAAAGUGAUGAGUCCUAUAUGGACUGGCAGAUGCAGAGUAUUUUAUGAAGGAUGAAAAAAAUGCAAAGAAAGACAGUAAAACAUAGCUGACUCAGCAAGCUGGGAGUUGGAUUUGUGACACUGGGGUGUAAUUCCUUUCUCUGCCACUGACUUCCUGUAGCACUUUCGAUGGGGUACCAGAGGAUAAAUAAGUAAACGUAUGACUUUUUCUCAUUAUAUCCCAGAUUCCCAUUUGUAAUAUAGAGAUAACAUCAUUUUAUUUGAACACAGUGGUGUAUUAAAGCAGAGAUCCUGGGGUUUCACAGUAACAGAGUCAUAGAGACUAUAUGAAAAAAGCUCGUCUGGUUUUCUGUAGGAAAGACUACUAACAAAGAAUUUAUAACUAUCAAAUCAAGGAAAAGAAAUGCAGCAGUGAAAGGUUCAGAAUUGCUAACUGUGUGUUGAAAGGUUCAGGAAAAUGCCUGGAGUUGUGAGUAGGUGCCAGAGAAUUUAAUUAUGAUAAUAAAACUUCUAGGAAGACGUGAAAAUGCUGGAAUGAUCAAAUCAUGUUUAAUUACGAGGAACAUUUUUUGUCUUGGUAACACAGCACUGUAAGGAAUACGUGUGUUGCCUCCAGAAAUGUUAGGGGCCAGGAUGUCAUUCUUUCAGAAACAAAGCAGACAAGAACUUAAAAAAAAAGAAAAGUCAAAGAAAAGCUAAACCAAACAAAUGCCUCACAGGUCAUGGUAGAGCACCCAGAGCUUUGUAAAGAAGGCCAGGGGAAACUCCCUGAGAAGACACACUCUGCUCAGGUAGGAAUUCCUCUUUGAAACCUUUGUAGGAACAGGCAAGCCUCUUCCCUUCUUUCUUCCUGUCCUCCUGGCUCUCACAGAUAGCUCUUUUAAAAAUGGACUUCAUGGUUGGAGCUCCUUUUCCUCAGGUAGAGCCACACUGACUCCCAAGGGCAAUGGGCAAAGUCAUGAGGCUAACAGUGCCUGCUGCAGUGGAGAGCUACACAACCUCGACUUCGCUGACAUGUUUAAAGGUUUGUUCAACAAACUCUUACUCGUUGCAAAAAAAUCAUUCAUAAAAAGUCAGCCCUGACAGCAUGUUGGCACAUGCACAACUACCUAAGCUCUCUGUGUAGGAAGUCCAGGUCACCAGUGACAGUUUAGGGCUGUGCAGUUUCAAGAUGAAUUAAUUGCCUCUUGGGUUUCCCUUGGCUCUGCAAGGCUUUUCCUGGGUUUGCACACACUGCCAGCUGCUGCACAGAAAGUCAGCAAGGAAAAAUAGGGCUGGAAGAGGAGAUACGGAUGGGCCCUGUCUAAUCCAGCUCUGGGUUUGUUUGCUUCUGGAAAUCAUGAUCCCUCUGUGCUGCAGUUUCUGUUGUGCUGUAGGCCAUUGAAAAGAAAUAAUAACAAGAACACAUGGCAAGCAAUGCAAAUGAAAGGCUUUGGUCUGUGCUUUUUGAGAGAAGGGCUGCAAACUCCACCCUGCCAAAAGGCUGUACUGGCUGGGCUUCUCAGGAACUUACCCUUAUGGCUUCAGCAAGUUCACAAACUGGGCCCACAACUGCAGCCUCUGUUGUUCCCUUAAAAAGGAAGAUUUGAUACACAGCAGUGGGAUUCCUACACACAUCAGUAUGGAAAGUGUUCUUGAUUCUUAUACCUCAUGGCAAAUAUUUCUUGUUGAAAUGACAUAUAACUCUCCAUGGGAUAACUGCUUUGUUGCAGCACAUGGCUUGUCCUCAACAUGGUACACAAAAGCCCGGAAAUGAUGAGGGUUCAGCUUCUUCCCAGGAUGCUGUCCUGAUGGAUGUUCCGAUCCCUCAGCAAUAUUUGAACACCCUUAUUCAAGCUGUCGCCUUAUUGCUCUGCUUAGGAUUCAGAAUGCUUUUCCUGGAUACUCUGCAAGAGGAUCCCUGGAGAUCCCAUGAAAGAAACAAAAUCUUUAUGUCCUGUUUUCUGUCUCUUGGCUACAAGAGUGAUGCUGUUGUGUGUCUCAUAGAUCCUGGCAUUAAUUCUCAGUGGCCUUCUUUUGCUUGCUAUAUCCUAAUGUCUCAGAUAUGACUUACACCUUUACAACAAGUUCGUAGGUAAUCCAUCCCAUCAGAACAACACAAACCUCAGAGCAGCCGCCUGUUCUCAGUAUUUAUAAGCAUGUUUCAUCCAGAUUCCCAGAGCCAUUGCUUUCAAAGAGGACAACAUGAAGGCAACUUCUGUCUGUAAAGAGAAUCUAGCUGUAGAUGUUCCUCUUCAUUGCAAGGGAGUUGGACCAGACGACCUCUAAGGGUCUCCUCCAACUCAGAUGGUUCUAUGAGAAUCCACUGGGCUGGUAUGGCAAUCUGACAUGCCCUCCUACCACACCUUUUGGUUUUGGUUUACUGUGAUGGCUGAGAGACCCUCUCUCUUUACCAUGGUUGUUAGGAGUUUAUUGCAAUUUCCUCCAGGGAGGUUAGCACUUCGGCAAGGUGAUACAUCCUGGUUGUGUUCUCACCCUGCAGUGCAAGAAAAUGCCUUUCAGAAAUGCCUCCCUCAGAGCAUUUGUCAUUUUCCAGAGGUGUUUACUGACUCCUUUUUCACUCCCCAAGUUAAAAACUAUUAUUUGUUAGGCUCUUUUCUUCUUCAUGUACUUUAUGUUAUCAGCUCCCAAUGAACGCAUCAUUUAAGCUUUAGAAUGAAACAUGGAAAUAACGCUUAAGCCCCUGGGGAGAUCAUUCCUACAGACUAAAGGUGUUUUCAGACCACUCUGCCUGAUUGCAUCCUGAUACCAAAUGAUUCAAGAGAGCAAUCCUUACUCACUUCUGCCACUCUUCCAGUGAGAACUAUGAUAAUACAGCACAGGGAUUAGCAGGAUGUUUAGCUUUUUAGAUGCUGGUGUUUUUAUUCCAUUUACCACCUCUGUCUGCACCUAAUUCUCAGAUAAGUCAGCUCAAGCAAGGAGGUAACUGUUCUGAUUUCAAUGAGACAGAGUUUAGUCAUCUGGCUGCCUGCUUUGCUCAAUUAUUAAUGUUAGAUCACUAUUGAUUUUGCCUCUCUGAUCUUAGUGGCAAACAACUGCUGAAAAAUGAAAGUGGAAAGCAAAAGAACAGGGAGAAAAAAGCUUCCAGAGAAGUUAGGUCAUGUGUAAUCCAAGGGGCCUAAGAAUUAUGUUGAUGUGUGGAAAGGGGAAGUUGUUUUCUUCUUCUCAGAUUCGUUUAGUUGCUUUCACUCAGUGCAUGCUUCUCCAUAUCCUGGGUUCAAGGAUGAGGUGUUUUGGGGUGAGAGCUCCAGGAAAAUGAUACAUUUAUGACAGCUGGCUGUAACCUAGGAAGUUCUACAGGUACAUAGUUGGUACAUUUGGUACACAGAUAUCAGGCUGAAGCACUUACAGAAAAGAUUAGUUACAAAAUUAAAGCGAUACAUCAGCCCAGCUCUCACUCUCAAAAGCAAUCUUCCUCAUUCAGUCCCAGAGCGUACUUUACUGGCUGCAGUUUCAGGCUGCCCGAAACCUUAGCUGACCCCUUGCUUUCAAAGAAUAAAGCAGAGAAAAUGUCUCUUAAGUUUACUCUCAGGAGCUCCCCAUGCCUCAGCCCUAAGCUAUACACAUCCUACACAAAAUUCUUCCAGGACUACACAGCAGCCUUUAGAAGGGGAGCUCUGCUCUGCGAUGCAUCUCUGCUGCCAAAAGCUGUGGUGUCCAGCUGGGACUCCAGCACCCAGCUUCAGCCUGGAGGAGGCACUACAGGGGCUUUUAAAGAGGUUUGUUCUAAAUGGUUACACUUCCUUCGCUUUUCAGAAUCUCUUCCGUAAAUAACCCUCUUCUAACAGACAUAAAAUGUGCUGUAAUACAAAGACAAGUCUGACUUCUCUCUCUUUCAGAGCAUGGAUUGAAGUCAGGUACCCCUUCUCCCCCUUGAGAAAGGAGCCAACAGAAGAAUCAAGAGAAAUGAAAGAGUAAAAGAGGUGGCUGCAAGUGAUACAAUGAGUACCAUAGAGACGACUGCAAAGCUGCUUGGGGUCCUGCUCAACUCUCUAUCAAAACCUGUGCAACUCUGUCCACUCUGGGGGAGCUUAGCAAAUGGAAAUGACCACGUGUUUUUAACCAAUAAUCUACAAUAAUCACCAAUAAUCUACACAAAUAAAACUAUUAUUAUUAUUAUUAUUAUUAUUAUUAUUAUUACAAAAAGGGAAACAAGCAAGUGAAGAAGGGGGAAAAAUAAAAUGUAUAAAGCGAGCUUCCACUUAGAGGUUUCAACCUAUGGGUUACAACCUAUGGCUUAAAGAGUUUUUAAUGGGUUGUUUCUUUGUCCUCACAGAACUCAGCGUGUCUAGAAACACAUUUUUUUGCAGCAGGCUUUCUAUAACAUCAGCUUGUUCUCGUGUCUGUGGCUGGUUUAUUGCAGCAAUUAUAAUAAUUGAUCAACUUGUAAACCUGAUUAUAAAGUCUGCUCCCUCAUCUGUUUUCUUUCUUGACUGGCUCUUGCUUUGAAGGUGGCAAGGAUUUACAGUGGGGGCUGUCUGCAGCACCGAUCCCCUCCCUGGCCUUCCAUUAAUGUUGCCUGGUUCAGGAAGAACAG
ensembl:lncRNA